UACAUAGGGGGCAAGCGUUAUCCGGAAUUAUUGGGCGUAAAGGGUGCGUAGGCGGCUUUCUAAGUCUGAGGUAUAAGUGCAGUGCUCAACGCUGUGAUGCUUUGGAAACUGGAAAGCUAGAGUGAGAUAGAGGCAAGUGGAAUUCCAUGUGUAGCGGUAAAAUGCGUAAAUAUAUGGAGGAACACCAGUGGCGAAGGCGGCUUGCUGGGUCUAUACUGACGCUGAUGCACGAAAGCGUGGGGAGCAAACAGG
rnacentral:rRNA from 1 species